AUGUGACUAUGUCUUAACCAAUCAGAUUCUCUCUUGCAAAUUUUCAUCUUGGAUGGUCAGGUGCAGCUCUGGAAAGCCACUGAAGACCUAAUCCCAUCAGCAAGCAGCUCCCUGUCCAGACCAUCCAUUAGUUCCUGUUCCCUAGGGCCUUCCUGGUGUCCUGACCAUUCUGAGACUGAUUCUUCUGAUUCUAACCCAACCAACAGCUUUGGUGCCUGAAGAACUCUGGGUCAUCAAAGAUGGUGCAGAAACAGGAUCAGAGGCCGGGGAGACCCAACAAAGACCUCAGUGAACUGGAGAACUCAACAAGCCCUGGGGACAUGGAGAUGCCGAUUUGAACAAAGGAGACGAUGGAUCUCUGAACUCUGGUUUGGUGAUUCAAGAAACAAGAGAACCUCUGAGUCCAACUCCUCCUACUCCCAAGCAGGAAGGUGGGAGCAUACACGGUCUGCUCCUUUGGAGACCAAGGCUCCAUGCACAGAAGAUGCUGGGCCGGCCAGCCAUGCAGAGCCCCGGCUCCAGGUCACUAUUGUUUCAUCAGCUGCUGGUCAGAGUUCCCUCAAAGAGCUGCCGAUGUCUUUCUAACAAGACUGGAAAAGUUGUCUGGUGGCUGCGCAUUCCCUUCAUCUGCCCUUUUUCUGGGUGGCACUCUCUCUUUUCUGGUGUUGUACUUUCAAAACAAACCAUCUCCACUGGUUGUGGUAAAUUUCAGUGAAGAAAAUUUCAAGCUGGGAAGGGUGAGAAGACCUACAGGAAGGAUACUAUAUAUAGUCCAUCUUUAAUGGCCAGAGAACAAAAUUGCCUUUUCAUUACUGUCUGCCUUUAAGAAAUAAAUAACACUUUUCUUUGAAAUUCAAACCAGAAUACAUUGCACAGUCUGCUGAGAUUUGGUAAAAUAUGUGUUAAAUAUGCAACAUGGCUCUAUUAUUUAGACCUGACUAUGAUAUUUUUUAGGAGAAUAGUUUCAUUUGGGCAUUCUGUAGACCUGAGUCAACUUAAUCUGACAAAAUCCUAAUCUGUCAUAGAAGUCUAGAAGUUUAGAUCUAGAGGGGCCUUAAGGAGUCACAGGGCUCAGUCUAAGGUCAUGUGAUGAAAAAAGAUAGGAACAUGCAUGGGGGAAAAGAUUCAUUCCAACUGACCACCUGGAGGAAGACCUUGUAUACUCACAUUGAAUAAGUGCCUUUUGCAUCUUUUUAUCUAUUACAAUUCAAGAUUUGGAGGUUGUACUCCCCAUUGUUCAGUUGAAGAAAGUUAUUCAGAGAAUAAAGUGACUUAUUCCAAGUUACAUAGUUUAUCGUGAC
ensembl:lncRNA